rnacentral:rRNA from 1 species
GUCUUAUUGAAAAUAAUUUUAAGUCUGAUCUGCCCAAUGAAAUUUUAAAUGGCUGCAGUAUUUUAACUGUACAAAGGUAGCAUAAUAAUUUGUCUCUUAAUUAGGGACUUGUAUGAAUGAUCAAACGAGAUAAUAACUGUCUCUAAAUAAAUUAUAGAAUUUUAUAUUUAAGUAAAAAAGCUUAAAUUUUUUUAAAAGACGAGAAGACCCUAUAGAGUUUUAUAUUUUUAUUAUUAUAAAUUUUUAGUAUUAAUAAUUAAUUUUAAAUAAAAAUAUUUCAUUGGGGUGAUGAAAAAAUUAAAAUAACUUUUUUAUAUUUUUAACAUAAAUUUAUGAUUUUUUGAUCCAAUAUUUUUGAUUAUAAGAUUAAAUUACCUUAGGGAUAACAGCGUAAUUUUUUUAAAGAGUUCUUAUCGAAAAAAAAGAUUGCGACCUCGAUGUUGGAUUAAAAUUAAUUUUUGGCGUAGAAGUUAAAAUAUUAGGUCUGUUCGACCUUUAAAAUUUUACAUGAUCUGAGUUUAAAUCGGCGUGAGCCAGGUUGGUUUCUAUCUUUAAUUAAAUAUUAUAUUUUAGUACGAAAGGACCAAAUAUUUAUAAUAAUUAUUAUUUUUAGAAUAUUAUUAA